rnacentral:rRNA from 1 species
UCUGGCGGCUUUAGCGCGGUGGUCCCACCUGACCCCAUGCCGAACUCAGAAGUGAAACGCCGUAGCGCCGAUGGUAGUGUGGGGUCUCCCCAUGUGAGAGUAAGGAACUGCCAGAC